CGUAGGGCGCAAGCGUUGUCCGGAAUUAUUGGGCGUAAAGAGCUCGUAGGUGGCUUGUCGCGUCUGCCGUGAAAGCCCGUGGCUUAACUACGGGUCUGCGGUGGAUACGGGCAGGCUAGAGGCUGGUAGGGGCAAGCGGAAUUCCUGGUGUAGCGGUGAAAUGCGCAGAUAUCAGGAGGAACACCGGUGGCGAAGGCGGCUUGCUGGGCCAGUUCUGACGCUGAGGAGCGAAAGCGUGGGGAGCGAACAGGAUUAGAUACCCUGGUAGUCCACGCUGUAAACGUUGGGCGCUAGGUGUGGGGGUCUUCCACGAUUCCUGUGCCGUAGCUAACGCAUUAAGCGCCCCGCCUGGGGAGUACGGCCGCAAGGCUA
rnacentral:rRNA from 1 species